CCUUACCUCCUGCAGUCUUGGACUUUGCUAUUCUGCUGCUUUGCAGUGUUUUCCAUUGUGUUCCAGCUGGGAAUGUGUCAAAUAAAAUGUGAGGAUAAGAUGUAUAUGACACUGCUGUGCAUUUAUUUUAAACUGCUUAAAACAGCUCAACUCAGUUAUAGUUAAUCACACAAUCCCUGGAUGACUGUGGGGGACCUCCGGAUGACAUCUAGUUUAAAAUCUCUGCUCAAGCAGGCCCAUCUGGACUCAUACCCAUGGGCUACAGCUCCGGUCCAGGGUCUGUUCCUGUGAAAGUCUCUCCAUGGGCUGUGGUCUCCUUCAGGCUACAUCCACCUGCUGCACUAUGGGCUCCACCACAGACUGCAUGUGGAGAUCUGCUCUGCAUGGUGCCCCAUAGGCUGCAGGAGGAAUUCUACUCUGUGCCUGCAGCAACUCCUGCCAUCCUUCUGGCCUGACCAUGGUGUCUGGGUUGCUGUUUGUCUCCACAGUUUCUCAUUCGUCUAUCCCAGCUGCUUUUGUACAGAAGUUAUUGUGGAGUUUUUUUUUAGUUGUUUAUCUCCUUUCACAGAGGCACAACUGGCAUUGUUCAUUGGCUCAGCUUUGGCCAGGGGUAGGUCCUUUUUGGAACCAGCUGGAAAGGAAUUUCUGAUAUGUGGCAGCUUCUGGGCUCUGCUAAUAGAAGUCAAGCCUGCAACUCUCAUACUAUCAAAAUAAUGCUAUUUAAACUCAGAACAUCUAAUUAAUCUGCCACUUCCUCCAGUUUUGUGUCAUCUGCAGACUUAAUGGGAGUAUGUUCAAUUCCAUUGUCCAGAUUAUUCAUGAAGGUGUUAAACAGGACGGGAUUUAGUAUUGACCUGUAUGGAUACUCCACUAGUUAAUGAUCUCCAGUAAGAAUUUGCACAAACUACUAUCUUCUGGCCAUAUAGCCUGUUCUUGGUCCACCUGACUAUCUACACAUUCUAUCCGUUCUUCAAGUUUCUCUAUGAGGAUCUUAUGGAGGACAGAGUCAAAAUAUUUAGUAAGAUAACAUUUCUUAAAAAUUAUCAGGUUGGACAGGCAUGAGCAUCUUGCACUAUGGCUUGUACUCCCUGCUAUGUGCUUCAGAUGAUAACAUUUGAAAUGAAAUGUAAAUAUGGCAAGCUCAAGUUAUAGCAAGUAAUUCACAUAUUUUGAUACAGUGGCUGAAUGCAGUCCUGUAAACAGUGAAAAAUAUGUAGUUCUGUUUUACACUUUGAUACAGGAAUUUGAGAAUAGAUUUCAAGAUGUCAAAAGAAAUUGUCACUUCUUUGUAUAUUUCAACUCCAUUUCAGUCAACAUAAAUACAUUACUUGCAGAUUUUCACAUGGAAUGUGUAGUGUUGCAAUCAGAGAUUCAACUAAAUGAAGAAUUUGGUAAUGUAUCUUUACCAGACUUUCAAAAGUCCUAUCUUAGCAGAGACAAAUAUCCCUUGCUUCACAGUUCACUGUCUUUUUGGCAGUAGUACAUUUGUGGAUAAUUAUUGUCAAGGAUAAAGCACAGGAAGAAAAAUAUUUCAACAGAAAUCUGAUGAGUACCUUGAGAACUCACGAGGAAUGGUAAUCACUGCCAUAAAACCAGUCUGAUGCACUUGUUUCACAAAAAUAAGGUAAAACAUGUGACUAGUUUUGUUUUUGUUGCUGUUUUUUGUUUUAAUAAAAAAAAAAAUGUAAAUUUUGUUUCUUACAUACAUUAAAUUCAUUAUGUUCUUCAUGCAGUCCAAGGCAAUUCUUAUUUGCUCAUUGUGGC